rnacentral:lncRNA from 10 species
CCGCCCGCCUUGGCCUCCCAAAGUGAUGGGAUUACAGGCGUGAGCCAUCGCGCCCAGCCUGCUGUUUUGGUUUUUUUUUUGGAGACAGGAUCUAGCUUUGUCACCCACGCUGGAGUGCAGUGGCGCGAUCUUGGCUCACUGUAAUACUGCCUCUAGGCUCAAGCUAUUCUCCCACCUCAGCCUCCUGGUAGCUGGCAUACAGGCGUGCAUCACCAUGCCCGGCUAAUUUUUGUAUUUUGGGUUUCGCCAUGUUGUCCAGUCUGGUCUUGAACUCCUGAGUUCAAGCGAUCUGUCCGCCUCAGCCUCCAAAGUGCUGGGAUUACAGGUGUGAGCCACUGCGCCCAGUCCUAAAGCUGCUUCUUUUCCAGCCUAACUUAAACUGCAGAAUGGAGAUAGGUUGCACAGUAUUUUUUACUUAAUUCUAGAUGCUCUUCAACUAAGGAAACAAAAAAUCUAGUUCACCUGGGGAGAGGUGGAGAAUAGACCAAGGAGUUGGCAUUCUGCCUUUUGUGUCAAACACAAGUGUAACUGGGGUAAUAACAGUUGACUUGAACUUUCCAAUUCUCAAUUAGGGGCUGAAGCAGUAAUUGAAAUGGGCUAGUGUCCCAAAGCCAGGCGUCAAAGUUGCCCAGCCUGACCCUAACUAUGCAAAUAGCAAAAAGGGCAGGCUUGGUCAAAGUCAACUAGGAUUUAAAAAUCCAUUUGGGGUAAACAGUGGCUUUGGUACUAUCACAAACCACCAUACAAACCAACAAGGUCACAAGGCAGACCCAAUUGUGCUGCUGGUAUAUUGUAAAACAGGUUAUUUAAUACAACCAAAAACUACAGAAGCUGAAUUGUCAGCACCUAUUCUAAACUUGAUAUUUAGCCUUCCCUCACUUUUGCCACUUCAUUAGCCUAAGAAAAAAAAAACAAAACAAAAAGCCUUUAAAAGGCACUGCUCUGCUUGCCCCCACAAAGGAGGGCCAACUGUGCUUUUCAUCCCAGCAGGAUGGUUUUAUUUCACAUUUCAUUUGUUUUCAACAUUCAGUAGUUUAUUCAACAGUCAACAGGAAACUUACAAGGCCAAGGUCAAUUAAGUCAUCCAUAAGAGAAACAAGUAACUUUAAACUUCACACACUAGAUAGGAAAGCAGUAACUUUUGGGGAAAAAACCUCAGUGCUGGACAUCGUCAAAACAAGGUGAUGUGCAGAUCCACAGAUUGACAAGUUGUCUUGGGAUCUUAAGCUCUCCUCUAUCAAACUCCUGUAAUCCCACACCAAAACACUAGGAUGCCUCUCCCUGAUCAUUGUUUCCUAGUGCUGAAAGCCAAGACUCCUUUAUUAAGUUGAACGCUAAUACUGAGCCUGGACUUAGUUCAGUUCUAUCAGCUUUAAAUUAUAAAUAAGAACAUAUCUUCAUCAGAAGACCCAACUUGCACAUUAAUCCAAGCUAUCAUUUUCCCUUUUACUAUGAGAAAUAAUUGCUUUAUAAUGCAGAUUCCCAAUGCCACAGUCCAUAAAGAUGUGCCAAGCACACAGACAAACCCCAAAUGGCGCAAGUUUAACAUCAAAUUGAGCCAAGUCUAUGGCCACCACAGAAUUGAGAGUUCUGGAAUAUAAGGUCAUAUCUGAAAACAGGUAUUUAAAAAUUUAAUUAGGCAAGGUGCAGUGGCUUACACCUGUAAUUCUAACACUUUGGGAGGCAGAGACAGGAGGACUGCUUGAGCCCAGGAGUUCGAGACCAGCCUGGGCAACACAGUGAGACCCCAUCUCUACUAAGUUAAAAAAAAAAAAAAGAAAAAAAGAAUUAGCUGGGCAUUAUGGCACACACCUGUAGUCCCAGCUCAGGAGGCUGAGGUGGGAGGAUCCCUUUAGCCCAGGAGGAUGAGGCUGCCGUGAGCCAUGGUAGCACCACUGCACUCUAGACUAGGUGACAGAGACCAUUUCUCUCCUCAAAAAAAUAAAUAAAAAUUUAAUUACUAAAAAUCACUUAAAAUUGGUCGUCAAAAUUUUCAAAUGAUAUUAAAUGCAGGAACAAUUAUUCCUCAGCACUGUCAGAGUGUUUCUGUGGUCAUUAUUCCAUCCAUUUACAAUACUAAAUAGAAACUUACUUAAGGCAAUGGAGGAGCAAGAUUUUUGUUUAAUGGCUCUACCAGUACAGGACACCUCAGGUAAUAAUGAUGUCACAAUAUUAACAAGCUCCCCUUUUCUAAUAGUAACUAAGAUAAUUUAUUGCCUCUUUAAUUCCUGGGCAGGUCUAUGAUGGUGCAAUUUCAUGGAAACCACCCAACAAACAUGUUUUUCCACUGCCUGAAGAAAUAUUCUUUGGCUGGGAGUGGUGGUUCACGCCUAUAAUCCCAGCACUUUGGGAAGCCAAGGCAGGUGGAUCACUUGAGGUUAGGGGUUCGAGACCAGCCUGGCCAACAUGGUGAAACCUCAUCUCUACCAAAACUACAAAAAUUAGCCAGGUGUAGUGGGGCAUGCCUGUAGUCCCAGCUACUCGGGAGGCUGAAGCAGGAGAAUCGCUUGAACCCAGGAGGCGGAGGUUGCAGUGAGCUGAGAUUGUGCCACUGCACUCCAGCCUGGGUGACAGCGAGACUCUGUCUCAAAAGAAAAAACAAAAAACAAAGAAAUAUUCUCUGAAUACUUUCUCAAGCUGACCUAAGAUUUGUUGUGCCUACUUAUAACAGUUUGAAUUUGUGGCCUCAACAAUCAAAAAAGUUGAUCCUUAAACUACUGAUCUAGUAAUAUGCCAAUUGGCUUUUGAAAAUAACAAAAUUGUGACUACCUAGCUUCAACUCAGUUUUCACUGCAUGCCUAUCAGUAUUACUGUUUUCUCUGGGGGAGAAUGAUACAGUUUUUACAACAGCUCAGGAAUGCCACAAAUGACAAGUCAGUCAGUUCCAAAGGUUAAGACCAAAGCUGACUAGCAGUCCAUUUGGGAUACAAACCAAGGCUGUAGUUUCAUUUCAGUGCAUCUGAUGGUGCAGAACAGAACCAGAACACCUCCACUUAAACUCCCUUAAUUAGCUACCGACUGCUGUGCUACUGUCAACCACCACCAGGGCACACACUCAGACCUCUGUGCGGGAAGGCCUGUCUGUGACCCAGACCUUCAGUAAGGCUCCCCAGCUCCACUUAUGUCUCCUGAGAACUUUCCUGAGGAGGCUUUCUGAAAAAAUUAUCUACACAUCAGUUUAUUUUAAACAAAUGCUUUGCACGAGUGAGUAGUACUCAACUGUUACACUGAUUUGUUCUCAGUGGAAAUCCUAUGUCUGUUACAAAAAUGACAAGUUGGCCGGAUGUGGUGGCUCAUUCCUGUAAUCCCGCACUUUGGAAGGCCGAGGCGGGCGGAUCAUGCGGUCAGAAGAUCAAGACCAUCUUGGCCAACAUGGUGAAACCCUGUCUCCACUAAAAUACAAAAAAUUAGCCGGGUGUGGUGGUGCACGCCUGUAGUCCCAGCUACUCAGGAGGAUGAGGCAGGGGAAUCGCUGAACCCAGGAGGCGGAGGUUACAGUGAGCUGAGAUCGCACCACUGCACUCCAGCCUGGCAACAGAGCAAGACUAAAAAAAAAAAAAUAAAAAAAAAUAAAGGCAAGUCCAAGGCCAGGCACAGUGGCUCAUGCCUGUAAUCCCAGCACUUUGGCAGGCCGAGGCAGGUGGAUCACCUGAGGUUAGGAGUUCGAGACCAGCCUGGCCAACAUGGCAAAACCCCAUCUCUACUAAAAAAAUUUAAAAAUUAGCCAAGUGUGGUGGCACGCGCCUGUAGUCCCAGCUACUCUGGAGGCUGAGGCAGGAGAAUCGCUUGAACCUGGGAGGCAGAGGUUGUAGUGAGCCGAGAUCACACCACUGUACUCCAGCCUGGGUGACAGCAAGACUCCAUCUCAAAAAAAAAAAAAAAAAAUCAUAGGCAGAAAAUGACGUUUUAAAUCAGUGCGCAAACACAGGGCCAAAUUCCUGGAAAAUUUUGGAGAAGUAGAUUUUAGCCAAGGUCAUAUAAUCUAUUACAUACCAUAGGCAGGAUCUAAACCUAACUUAAAAACCCAUGUUUCCAAAUAUACCAUAGUUUGGAAGUGCUAUCAGGUCAGAGUGCUCAAUAAACUUUUGGCAGUACUGAAGACAGCAUGAUGCGACCAUCUUUACAACCUCUGCAGCAACUGAUAAAUGCCCAGUAAGUAUUUACUAAAUUAACAUGGUGUGACCACUUAAAGAUUCAGGCCAGGCACUAGAUUUUCAAGCCUACAGUGUUCAAGAAAUAAAACCAUUCAAGUGAGGAAGCCAUUUCCAACAGGCUGAACCUAUAAGGCAAGAAGGGUUCCUGGUAAGACUUAAGACAGAAAUCAGGGAUUAUAAAUCUAUAGUUUUAUUAAGACAAAAACUGACAAUGUAGUAUGAAGUUUACAUUUAAACAAA